AGAACGAACGCUGGCGGCGUGGAUAAGACAUGCAAGUCGAGCGAAAUGUCAUGGAUAGCAAUAUUCGUGGCGUUUAGCGGCGCAAGGGUGCGUAAUACGUGGGCAAUCUGCCCUAAAGCCUGAAAUAACUCCGAGAAAUCGGAGCUAAUAUCGGAUGUGGUUCUUAAAGGGCAUCCUUUGGGAACUAAAGCUGGGGACCGCAAGGCCUGGCGCUUUUGGAUGAACCCGCGGCCUAUCAGCUAGUUGGUGAGGUAACGGCUCACCAAGGCUAAGACGGGUAGCUGGUCUGAGAGGACGACCAGCCACACUGGAACUGAGACACGGUCCAGACACCUACGGGUGGCAGCAGUCGAGUAAUUUUUACACAACUGGGCGACAAGCCUGGAUGGAGCGGACGCCGCGUAGGGGAUGGAAUGGCGUUCCGGACCCCGUAAACCCCGUGUCCAGUUUACGCGAAACGAAACCCGGU
rnacentral:rRNA from 1 species